CGAUCAGAUGUUUACAUGUGUC
rnacentral:siRNA from 1 species